GAUGAACGCUGGCGGCGUGCCUAAUACAUGCAAGUCGAGCGAACAGACGAGGAGCUUUCUCCUUCGACGUUAGCGGCGGACGGGUGAGUAACACGUAGGUAACCUACCUAUAAGACUGGGAUAACUUCGGGAAACCGGAGCUAAUACCGGAUAAUAUUUCGAACCGCAUGGUUCGAUAGUUAAAGAUGGCUUUGCUAUCACUUAUAGAUGGACCUGCGCCGUAUUAGCUAGUUGGUAAGGUAACGGCUUACCAAGGCAACGAUACGUAGCCGACCUGAGAGGAUGAUCGGCCACACUGGAACUGAGACACGGUCCAGACUCCUACGGGAGGCAGCAGUAGGGAAUAUUCCGCAAUGGGCGAAAGCCUGACGGAGCAACGCCGCGUGAGUGAUGAAGGUCUUCGGAUCGUAAAACUCUGUUAUUAGGGAAGAACAAACGUGUAAGUAACUGUGCACGUCUUGACGGUACCUAAUCAGAAAGCCACGGCUAACUACGUG
rnacentral:rRNA from 1 species